rnacentral:lncRNA from 1 species
CUUGGUUCUGGGCAGUUGCCGGCUGCUCAGUGGCAGUGAAAGCAGAGAGGUCCUUCCCUGACAUGUGGUGGCUGCCAAGGUCUGGGACAGGAAUGGCUUGCACAAGAAGCCAGGGCCCGCCUUGGCUCUUUGCAUGGCACAGUGUGCUGCUGGAGACUCCUGAGCUAACUGACCUGCAGUCAAGAAUGGCGCUCCGUGGUCCUGGGCCCUGGAGCCUCCUGGUACCCGGGCUGGAACAUUCUGGCAGGGUGGCGGAGACCCGUGUGUUCUCCCCCGUGGGGACUCUGUUCUGUACCUGGGCUCUGCCUCACACAGGUGCCAGGGACCUGGGGGCAUUCCAUGCCUUCAUCGUCUCAGAUCUGCGGGAACUCCGGGGACGAGCUGGCCAGGGCAUCCUACUGCUGCGGAUCCUGAACCCCUGGGGCCGGCACUGCUGGCAGGGACUCUGGAGAGAGGGGUGAGUGCCAGGAGCAGGGCCCUGAGACCCUGUGGUCCCCGGCCUUCUGGCCUGUGCCUUAGUGAGUCCAGCUGUCAGGUCAGUGUUCAUGUCUGCAGGGCCACUUGGUGGCACCUCGUGCACUGCUAUGUUCAGGGCCUCGGGCAGUUCUUGGGAGGUGUGGGACCACCGUGACCCUAGGUCUUGGGGGAACCCGCAGACCCGGGAACAGGAACUUGGUUUGAAGACCCAGCUAAGCCAGGAUCCCCUGGAAGCCUGGAGCUGCAGAUGGUGGUGGACUCCCAGCCGGAGUGCAUGCAGCAGCUCCACCUGAGACCACAGGGCAGGUGUCGUUCUGGGUUGUGGUGUCCGGGAAGCCAGUCCAGAGGCAAGAAGCCCCUCUGGGGAAGGAGAGAGGCUCCCGCAAGUGCUGCCGUGGGGAGGCCCCUCAUCUCAGGAUGCCUCUCGACACGGGAGGGGGCCCAGCAGCAGGACCACGGGGUGCUGGAAGGGGGGACUCUCGGGCCCCCAGCUGAUGCUGCCAGCUCUUGGGAGCAGCUUUCCUGAGGGAGGCUCCUUACAGGGGUGAAGGGUGGAGUCAGGUGGAGCCAGCUGAGGGGGCCGAGCUGCUGUCCCAGCUCCAGGACGGGGAGUUCUGGGUGGAGGAAGAGGAGUUCCUCAGGGAAUUUGAGGAGGUCACCAUUGGCUACCCCGUCACAGAGGCCGGCCACCUGCAGAGUCUCUACACAGGUAGGGCAGCAGGAGAGUGGGUCCCACGUGGGCACCCUGGGCAGAGCUCAUGCCCAGGCCCCACCCGUGCAUCCUGGGAACUGGAGGAGGUUGAGGCUUACCCGCAUGGCCCGGGGGUACAGCAGGGCUGUCCCAGAGCUGAUGUGGAUGCUCUCCUGCUAGAGAAGACGCUGUGCCACACGCAGGCGCUGCCUGGUGCCUGGGUCGUGGGGCAGUCAGCUGGAGGUUGCCGGAACAACAGCUGCUUUCCCUGCAACCCCAAGUACUGGCUGAGGCUCUCGGAACCCAGCGAGCUGUGUGUGGCUGUUCUGCAGAGACCCAGGAAGCACCCAGCAGGCAGGGCCCGGGCUCUGGUGGGCUGUGGCCCUGCCCCAUCAAGCCUCCUGGGCAAGGAUCACCAGGUCAAGGACUACCAGGCCGUGGGCCUGCACAUCUGGAAGGUAACUGUCACCCCGCCCACCCCCGCAGUGGCUGUGGGGACCAGGCCUGCUUUUGGCACUCUGCCAGGGGCCCUGUCUCUCACCUCCUUGGGCUGCCAUGGACCCAGCUGAGCUGAGGCCCUGUGCCUCACUGGCCAGAGAAGAACAGGGCAACAGCCAGAGGGGGGCCACAGGAGCUGCCCACGGGCCCUGCUCUCGGCCGUGCUCUCCAGCACAGUGAGCGGAACCACUCAGGAGAGGAGCUGCUUCCGUCCUGCAGACGACCCUCUGACUCCUCCCUGGCUCCUUCCCCUGCUUUGUGGGGAUCGUGAUGCUGAUCUUUGACCUCUUGGGACUGUUCUGAGGCUUUUGUCACACUCAGCCACUAGAUCCUAAACUGGCUGUUUCCUGGAAGACUGGCUGGGCUGGGCGCUGCUGCCCGUCUGCCUGCCCAGUGGCUGUGUCCUCAUGGGCUGGGAGCUGACACUGCCCUUUGUGGGCAGACCUGCAUUAUGGUUCUUUCCUCUUACGAAGGAGGGGCUGAGCCCUUUCCCAUAGUCCCCCAGCUAUGCUGGCCAGGGGCCUUUGGGGGCACAGCCCUGUGUAGAUUUGUUUGUUUUCUUCUUGACCCUGGUGACAGGGCUCUGGGAAGCCUUGGGUCUGGCUUUUCCAGUUGGCCCUUGAGAGGAUGAGGGUGCGGAUGGACUUUGACCUGCUAGCUUGAGAGGCCUUCCUGCUGAGCAGGGAGCAGAGAGCUGGGUGCUGGGCGCUCUCCCACUGACCUCUGCCUGCCCUCUGCAGGUGGAGAAACGGCGGGUCAGCCUGCCCAGAAUCCUGUCCACACCGCCUGUGGCUGGCACUGUGUGUCAUGCAUAUGACCGAGAGGUCCAUCUACACUGUGAGCUCCCCCCUGGCUACUACCUGGCUGUCCCCAGCACCUUCCUGAAGGACAUGCCAGGGCAGUUCCUGCUCCGAGUUUUCUCCACAGGCAAAGUCUCCCUCAGGUGAGGAGCCAGUGGCAGCUGUGAGCAAGGGUUCAUCCGGGGAUGGGACUCUGGUGGCUGCCCUGGUUGGGCACAGUCCUCAGACAGGCUGCUAGCACCCUCCUCCGCUCGUCCCUCCACAGUGCUGUCAGGCCAGCAGCCAAGGGCGCCUCCCCUGGGGCAGCCCUGCCCUCCGGCGAGUGGGAGACCCUGCAGCUGCGGGGCUGCUGGAGAGCAGGCCGGACAGCAGGGGGCAGCAGGAACUUCGCCUCCUACCUCUGCAACCCCUGCCUCCCUUUCUCGGUCCCCGAGGGCUCCAGUCCCCGAUGCAUCCGAAUCACCCUGCACCAGCACUGCCCGCUCAGUGACAGCCAGCUGCAUCCCAUUGGCUUUCAUGUCUUCCAGGUGGGCUCCUCAGCAAGGGACAGGUACGGGGAGGCCCAGGCAACCCAUGUCUGUCCCAUGUUGUCCCAGUAAUCAGCUGCCUGGGAGGCAGAGCCUGGGCUCAGUUGGGCACAUCAGCCCAGCUGGCUGGUCUCAUGGGAGGCUGGUCUCUAGGUUUCUAAGGCUGUAUUUGCUGGGGUCAGCUCAGAUGGCCCUUGGCCACUCACCCUGGCUCGGAACAUCUGUGUCCUGAGGUCAAUUCUCCCCAGAGCAUGCCCCCUACCCCAGGAUCCUGGACCCUGGAGGCUGCUCAGGGGAUUCUGGGCAGACACCCAGCCUCACCAUGGAUCUGGCCCCAGCCAGCAAUUUCAGAGAAGCCCUACCCACUGGUGCAACAGGGAGUGAACACACCCAGGAGCCACCCAGGUCAUACCACCUGCCCCUCCCAUGUCACUGAGCGCCCUGGGUGGGACUGGCAAGAGCUGCACCCCAGUGGGGGGCAGUGGAAGUCAGAGCAGCGAUGGCCUGGUCUGGAAGAAGGGGUGUGUGGGGCCAGAGGAGCAGACAGUGGGGUGAGCUGCUCCCGCAACCAGCAGGCAGAGGAGAGGUGGGGGUGCCCUCAGGGAGGCCAGCAGCCCGAGGGUGCCCCUGGAGCUACCGGAGCCUGCAGCUGGGGUCAGCCCUGCACAGGUGAGUCGGGAAGGAGGCAGCCGGGCAAAGUGAUAGUCGCCCCAGUGUCAUUCCAGAGGGCGGCGCAUCAGUCCAGGUCAGCCCUGGGAGGGGUAGGGUCAGGAAGCAGAGGUCAUGCCAAGGGACCUCGCCAUGGGCCAUUCUGGUGACACUGCUGCUCAUGCUUAGCCAUUCCUGCAGGUGGAGGUGGCUCAGGCUCCUGCCAGGGAAGGGCUGAUCAGACCUCACCCGGUGCCUUCCUCAGCCCGGCUCUGUCCUGCCCCUGCUAUAGCCAGCCAGGGGAGGCACACUUAGCAGAUCUGGAGGGGGAGGGAGAGUUCAUGUCUCAGGGUCACAGGCCCUGAGUUCUGUGGGGACAGUUCUGGGGCUCCCAGCCCACACGGAGCUGUGCUUGUCCUGGGAGGACAAUGGCUGAGGAUGUCCUGGGCUAUAGCUGGUGGGAACACAUGGCCUGGCAAGCAGUGACCAAGAGAAGAGAGCGGGAUUUCUGGUAAGAGGGUCGGUGCCUCCCCCGGAGGAGCCACUGAGCCCAGAGAGCUGAGGAAGACACUGGGACCUUGCCCGGUGCUGCGUGCUGUGUGGGCCACCAGGAAGGAGCUCAGACCAAAAUGCCAGUGCCCAGGGGCUGCUGGCCAGAGCACUCUGGGUUGGGGUCUGGGCAGUGGUACGUGCCGACCACAGAGCUGAUCUGAGGUUCUUGGGCUUGGUGCCACUGCCAGGGCCUUCUGGCAAGGGUGGUCCAACUUCAGUGGGAGGGAGGUUCAGUGUGUGGGCCUGGCACUUGCUCCCCAGAAAAGGGGUGCAUGUGAUUCAGGAGGGCCAGGCAUCAGCAUCUUGGGAUCCAGCAGACUCCAGCUGCUGCUGCCUGGGCAGUGCCCCCAUCCAUACAGCCGCCUCAGGCUGAGCCCUGCACCCUCCAGGUCCCUGCAGGUGGCGAGAGGCAGGGUGCAGGCCCCCUGCUGCUCCAGGAGCCACUGCUGAGCUGUGUGCCACAUCGCUAUGCCCAGGAGGUGAGCCGGCUCUGCCUGCUGUCUGCGGGCACCUACAGGGUCGUGCCCUCCACCUACUGGCCUGACACCGAGGGCUCCUUCAUGGUGACCAUAGCAACCAGAGUGGACAGGUGCGGCUCUGGGCCUUGGGAUGACCAGCAGGUGUUCUUGGCCCUGAGCACUCAGCAGCCUUCCCCGUCUGGUUCUCUGCUGACCCAAGGCAUGAAUGGGCCUGCUUGCCUGGCUGAGCUGGGAGGAGGGUCUGGUGAGAGGCCAGCCGGGAGCAGGUGGCCCCCGGUGAGCUGCCCUCUCUCCACAGGCGGUCCAUUCACAGCCAGGAGAUGCUGGGCCAGGUCCUCCAGGAGGUGCGUGCAGCCCCUGCCUGCAGCCCCCAGCAGCCUUGCAUCCCAGUGCCUGAGGCCCCUCCCAGCUGCCUCACUCAGUGGCCUCUGCUACCCUGAGUCACAGGGCAGAGCUUGCAGGGACUUGGGGGCUGGGCUGUCACAGUCCCUAGGGGCAUUUGGGGGGGGGGUGGGAGCAGCCCUGAGCCCACCUUUCCGUCCCUCUUGCAGGUUUCCCUCACUGCAGUGAUGAAGGCCUAGCCGGGCUCCCACGGGGCAGCUCUGGGGGCUGGAGCUGGCCAAGCCUUGACCUGCCUCAGCUCUGCAGGGUGGCCACAGCUUGGGUCCCGAGUGAGGUGCUCUGUCCUGGAGAGAGGGAGUCUUGGGGUGGCACAGGUGCUGCAGGAGGGUCAGGAAGUCCUGUGGUGUCUGUCCCAUGCCCAAGACCCCAGGGUCCCUUCCACAUGGUCCUGCCAACUCCAGGCGGGCACGUGUUGUAACAGGUGUUGCUGGGAGCUGUUUAUCACUUGAAAUAUCUUUUAGGACAUGACUAUAAAUAAACACGAGCAGUUUGUG